rnacentral:rRNA from 1 species
AGGACGAACGCUGGCGGCGUGCUUAACACAUGCAAGUCGAGCGGAAAGGCCCUUCGGGGUACUCGAGCGGCGAACGGGUGAGUAACACGUGAGCAACCUGCCCUUAGCUCUGGGAUAGCUCCGGGAAACCGGAAUUAAUACCGGAUAUGACCUAGGCCGACAUCGGCCGUGGUGGAAAGUUUUUCGGCUAGGGAUGGACUCGCGGCCUAUCAGCUAGUUGGUGGGGUAAUGGCCUACCAAGGCGACGACGGGUAGCCGGCCUGAGAGGGCGACCGGCCACACUGGGACUGAGACACGGCCCAGACUCCUACGGGAGGCAGCAGUGGGGAAUCUUGCGCAAUGGGCGAAAGCCUGACGCAGCGACGCCGCGUGGGGGAUGAAGGCCUUCGGGUUGUAAACCCCUUUCAGCAGGGACGAAGCGAAAGUGACGGUACCUGCAGAAGAAGCGCCGGCUAACUACGUGCCAGCAGCUGC